ACGGGAGGCAGCAGUGGGGAAUAUUGGACAAUGGGGGAAACCCUGAUCCAGCGACGCCGCGUGAGUGAAGAAGUAUUUCGGUAUGUAAAGCUCUAUCAGCAAGGAAGAAAAUGACGGUACUUGACUAAGAAGCUCCGGCUAAAUACGUGCCAGCAGCCGCGGUAAUACGUAUGGAGCAAGCGUUAUCCGGAUUUACUGGGUGUAAAGGGAGCGUAGACGGCAAAGCAAGUCUGAAGUGAAAUCCCGGGGCUCAACCCCGGAACUGCUUUGGAAACUGUUUAGCUAGAGUGCAGGAGAGGUAAGCGGAAUUCCUAGUGUAGCGGUGAAAUGCGUAGAUAUUAGGAGGAACACCGAUGGCGAAGGCAGUCUUCUGGGCCGUAACUGACGCUGAGGUGCGAAAGCUAGGGGAGCGAACAGGAUUAGAUACCCUGGUA
rnacentral:rRNA from 1 species